rnacentral:rRNA from 1 species
GUCGAACGGGUGUAGCAUACAUCAGUGGCAGACGGGUGAGUNNNACGUGGGAACCUUCCUAGGGGUACGGAACAACUCAGGGAAACUUGAGCUAAUACCGUAUACGUCCGUGAGGAGAAAGAUUUAUCGCCCUUAGACGGGCCCGCGUAGGAUUAGCUAGUUGGUGAGGUAACGGCCCACCAAGGCGACGAUCCUUAGCUGAUCUGAGAGGAUGAUCAGCCACACUGGGACUGAGACACGGCCCAGACUCCUACGGGAGGCAGCAGUGGGGAAUCUUGGACAAUGGGCGCAAGCCUGAUCCAGCCAUGCCGCGUGAGUGAAGAAGGCCUUCGGGUUGUAAAGCUCUUUUACCAGGGACGAUAAUGACGGUACCUGGAGAAUAAGCCCCGGCAAACUUCGUGCCAGCAGCCGCG